rnacentral:lncRNA from 1 species
UUUUCUUAUAAUCCUAUUUAUGUCUUACUAGCUAUCAUUUUUAAAGGAUCAUCACUGUCUGAGGCACUUUACAGGCAGUUUUUUGACUGCAUGUUUAACAGCAUUGAAUUUAUCUCAGCGCUAAGCAGAUAGUCCACUUCUGUGUAACUACUUUUCCAAAAUUAUUCUUCAAGACUAAAGGAAAUUCAUCUUUAUUUUUGAUGCACUUCUAGUUUCCCAUUUUCUAGUCUGAUCUUGUGGCUUGUAAUUCCAAAUUUGGAAAGAAUGGAAAUUAUCAAUAGGAUGUUGGCUUGCUCUUCCACUUGAAUGUGCAAAUCCAUUCGGUGUAAUAUCCCCAUUUCUUUCCCUUUCAUAGGGAUAAUAACACUGAGUGAAAGCCUUGCUUUCAGUCUCUGUAGAAAAUUUAUUUGCACCAAAAUAUAGAUUCAUUGAGUGUGCACACAAAAAUUUGGUACUUACAGGCAGGCAUUGCCUCAUUUCAGUUCAAUUUCUAGAUACAGAGGAAGUUGCUUAUGUAGGCAGGGUUCUCUGGUGAUGAGUGGUGACUUCAUGAACAUUUGAACAAGCAAGUUGCAGAAUACAAGAGCUGCCAUCAAGUGGAGUUGUACUUUUCACAGGAACGACAUCCUGUACUUGCAAGCCAAGGUGAUGGCGGCCUCCAGUGAUUCAGUGAAGAAUAUAAUCAAUACUUUCCUAAAAAGGGUCUCCUCUUAAGUGACUGCCCUGAACAGAUUUGUGUCAUUUUAUCAUUGUAUAUCUGAAAAUUUAUAAUUGAGCAGUAUCCCCACAAAGAUGUUUUUCAGGCUGUGGCUGGUUAGCAUUGUCCUUGUCUGGAGAAAGAAUUGCUCUUGUGAAACUGUCCUGAUACAGAGAAGCUGUAAAAGAGAACUAAAAAAUCCUGACCGGCAUGAAGAAGUACUGAAACAAUCUAUAAUUUUGUGAGCUCACACCUGGAGUCAUGGCAUCACGAACAGCAGGAGGAGCUUCAGUAAAGAAACAAACUCCAGAAGAAGGAAUCUUCAGAUACCUAAAGUUCUUAUUUUUACAAAUCCAUCUCAGAACAGAAGAAAAAGGCCAGUAAGAAGAAA